CCUAUCAUGCAGUCGAGCGAACAGACAAGGAGCUUGCUCCUUUGACGUUAGCGGCGGACGUUUUGAGUAACACGUGGGUAACCUACCUAUAAGACUGGGAUAACUUCGGGAAACCGGAGCUAAUACCGGAUAAUAUUUCGAACCGCAUGGUUCGAUAGUGAAAGAUGGUUUUGCUAUCACUUAUAGAUGGACCCGCGCCGUAUUAGCUAGUUGGUAAGGUAACGGCUUACCAAGGCGACGAUACGUAGCCGACCUGAGAGGGUGAUCGGCCACACUGGAACUGAGACACGGUCCAGACUCCUACGGGAGGCAGCAGUAGGGAAUCUUCCGCAAUGGGCGAAAGCCUGACGGAGCAACGCCGCGUGAGUGAUGAAGGUCUUCGGAUCGUAAAACUCUGUUAUUAGGGAAGAACAUACGUGUAAGUAACUAUGCACGUCUUGACGGUACCUAAUCAGAAAGCCACGGCUAACUACGUGCCAGCAGCCGCGGUAAUACGUAGGUGGCAAGCGUUAUCCGGAAUUAUUGGGCGUAAAGCGCGCGUAGGCGGUUUUUUAAGUCUGAUGUGAAAGCCCACGGCUCAACCGUGGAGGGUCAUUGGAAACUGGAAACUUGAGUGCAGAAGAGGAAAGUGGAAUUCCAUGUGUAGCGGUGAAAUGCGCAGAGAUAUGGAGGAACACCAGUGGCGAAGGCGACUUUCUGGUCUGUAACUGACGCUGAUGUGCGAAAGCGUGGGGGAUCAAACAGGAUUAGAUACCCUGGUAGUCCACGCCGUAAACGAUGAGUGCUAAGUGUAGGGGGUUUCCGCCCCUUAGUGCUGCAGCUAACGCAUUAAGCACUCCGCCUGGGGAGUACCGACGGCAAGGUUGAAACUCAAAGGAAUUGACGGGGGACCCGCACAAGCGGGUGGAGCAUGUGGUUUAUUCGAAGCAACGCGAAGAACCUUACCAAAUCUUGA
rnacentral:rRNA from 1 species